AGAGUUUGAUCCUGGCUCAGAUUGAACGCUGGCGGCAUGCCUUACACAUGCAAGUCGAACGGUAACAGGUCUUCGGACGCUGACGAGUGGCGAACGGGUGAGUAAUACAUCGGAACGUGCCCAGUCGUGGGGGAUAACUACUCGAAAGAGUAGCUAAUACCGCAUACGAUCUGAGGAUGAAAGCGGGGGACCUUCGGGCCUCGCGCGAUUGGAGCGGCCGAUGGCAGAUUAGGUAGUUGGUGGGAUAAAAGCUUACCAAGCCGACGAUCUGUAGCCGGUCUGAGAGGACGACCAGCCACACUGGGACUGAGACACGGCCCAGACUCCUACGGGGGGCAGCAGUGGGGAAUUUUGGACAAUGGGCGAAAGCCUGAUCCAGCAAUGCCGCGUGCAGGAUGAAGGCCUUCGGGUUGUAAACUGCUUUUGUACGGAACGAAAAAGCUUCUCCUAAUACGAGAGGCCCAUGACGGUACCGUAAGAAUAAGCACCGGCUAACUACGUGCCAGCAGCCGCGGUAAU
rnacentral:rRNA from 1 species